UACGGGGGGGGCAAGCGUUGUUCGGAAUUACUGGGCGUAAAGGGCGCGUAGGCGGCCUGCUAAGUCGGAUGUGAAAUCCCUCGGCUCAACCGAGGAACUGCAUCCGAUACUGGCGGGCUUGAAUCCGGGAGAGGGAUGUGGAAUUCCAGGUGUAGCGGUGAAAUGCGUAGAUAUCUGGAGGAACACCGGUGGCGAAGGCGGCAUCCUGGACCGGUAUUGACGCUGAGGCGCGAAAGCUAGGGGAGCGAAUGGG
rnacentral:rRNA from 1 species